UGCAAGUCGAACGAUCCUUCGGGAUAGUGGCGGACGGGUGAGUAACGCGUGGGAAUCUGCCCUCAGGAGGGGGAUAACGGCUGGAAACGGCCGCUAAUACCCCAUAUGCCGAGAGGUGAAAUGAAUUUCGCCUGAGGAUGAGCCCGCGUCUGAUUAGCUAGUUGGUGGGGUAAUGGCUUACCAAGGCAACGAUCAGUAGCUGGUCUGAGAGGAUGAUCAGCCACACUGGGACUGAGACACGGCCCAGACUCCUACGGGAGGCAGCAGUGGGGAAUUUUCCGCAAUGGGCGAAAGCCUGACGGAGCAACGCCGCGUGAGGGAUGAAGGCCACUGGGCUGUAAACCUCUUUUCUCAAGGAAGAAGACCUGACGGUACUUGAGGAAUAAGCCACGGCUAAUUCCGUGCCAGCAGCCGCGGUAAUACGGGAGUGGCAAGCGUUAUCCGGAAUUAUUGGGCGUAAAGCGUCCGCAGGCGGCCUUGUAAGUCUGUUGUUAAAGCGUGGAGCUCAACUCCAUUUAAGCAAUGGAAACUACAAGGCUGGAGUGUGGUAGGGGCAGAGGGAAUUCCCGGUGUAGCGGUGAAAUGCGUAGAUAUCGGGAAGAACACCAGUGGCGAAGGCGCUCUGCUGGGCCAUAACUGACGCUCAUGGACGAAAGCCAGGGGAGCGAAAGGGAUUAGAUACCCCUGUAGUCCUGGCCGUAAACGAUGAACACUAGGUGUCAAGGGAAUCGACCCCCUCGGUGUCGUAGCCAACGCGUUAAGUGUUCCGCCUGGGGAGUACGCACGCAAGUGUGAAACUCAAAGGAAUUGACGGGGGCCCGCACAAGCGGUGGAGUAUGUGGUUUAAUUCGAUGCAACGCGAAGAACCUUACCAGGGUUUGACAUCCUGCGAAACCCUGAGAAAUCGGGGGGUGCCUUCGGGAGCGCAGAGACAGGUGGUGCAUGGCUGUCGUCAGCUCGUGUCGUGAGAUGUUGGGUUAAGUCCCGCAACGAGCGCAACCCACGUCUUUAGUUGCCAGCAUUCAGUUGGGCACUCUAGGGAGACCGCCGGUGUUAAACCGGAGGAAGGUGUGGAUGACGUCAAGUCAUCAUGCCCCUUACAUCCUGGGCUACACACGUACUACAAUGCUACGGACAAAGGGCAGCAAGCUCGCGAGAGUUAGCAAAUCCCAUAAACCGUGGCUCAGUUCAGAUCGUAGGCUGCAACUCGCCUACGUGAAGGAGGAAUCGCUAGUAAUCGCAGGUCAGCAUACUGCGGUGAAUACGUUCCCGGGCCUUGUAC
rnacentral:rRNA from 1 species